CUACGGGAGGCAGCAGUAGGGAAUAAUUCGCAAUGGACGAAAGUCUGACGAUGCGACGCCGUGUGAACGAUGAAGGCCUUCGGGUUGUAAAGUUCUGUCGCCUAUGAACAAGGUUAUGUGGUAAAUAAUCAUAUAACUUGAGGGUAAUAGGAAAGGAAGCACCGGCUAACUCCGUGCCAGCAGCUGCGGUAAUACGGAGGGUGCAAGCGUUAGUCGGAAUUACUGGGCGUAAAGGGUGCGUAGGCGGGAAUAUAAGUCAGAUGUGAAAAACCAAGGCUCAACCUUGGCAGUGCAUCUGAAACUGUAUUUGUAGAGGGAUAGCGGAGAAAACGGAAUUCCACGUGUAGCGGUGAAAUGCGUAGAUAUGUGGAAGAACACCUGUGGCGAAAGCGGUUUUCUAGCUUAAACCUGACGCUGAGGCACGAAAGCAAGGGGAGCAAACAGGAUUAGAUACCCGCGUAU
rnacentral:rRNA from 1 species